UACAGAGACUGCGAGCGUUAUUCGGAUUCACUGGGCGUAAAGGGUGCGCAGGCGGCCAUGUGUGUGAGGCGUGAAAGCCCGGGGCUUAACCCCGGAAUUGCACCUCAAACUACAUGGCUAGAGCAUUGGAGAGGGUAGCAGAAUUCAUGGUGUAGCAGUGAAAUGCGCAGAUAUCGGGAGGAACACCGGUGGCGAAGGCGGCAUUCUGGACCGAUAUUGACGCUGAGGAGCGAAAGCCAGGGGAGC
rnacentral:rRNA from 1 species